UAGGGAAUCUUCCACAAUGGACGAAAGUCUGAUGGAGCAACGCCGCGUGAGUGAAGAAGGUUUUUCGGAUCGUAAAGGCUCUGUUGUUGGUGAAGAAGGAUAGAGGCAGUAACUGGUCUUUAUUUGACGGUAAUCAACCAGAAAGUCACGGCUAACUACGUGCCAGCAGCCGCGGUAAUACGUAGGUGGCAAGCGUUGUCCGGAUUUAUUGGGCGUAAAGCGAGCGCAGGCGGAAUGAUAAGUCUGAUGUGAAAGCCCACGGCUCAACCGUGGAACUGCAUCGGAAACUGUCAUUCUUGAGUGCAGAAG
rnacentral:rRNA from 1 species